UACGUAGGUGGCAAGCGUUGUCCGGAUUUACUGGGCGUAAAGAGCGCGCAGGCGGUCGUUCAAGUCGCGUGUGAAAGCCCCCGGCUCAACUGGGGAGGGUCACGCGAUACUGAUCGACUCGAAGGCAGGAGAGGGUAGUGGAAUUCCCGGUGUAGUGGUGAAAUGCGUAGAUAUCGGGAGGAACACCAGUGGCGAAGGCGACUACCUGGCCUGUUCUUGACGCUGAGGCGCGAAAGCUAGGGGAGCAAACGGGG
rnacentral:rRNA from 1 species